rnacentral:lncRNA from 1 species
AGUGGUGUUGUUUGUGAUUGAGUAAAAUAGUAUAUAUAUAGAACUAGGCUAAUAUACUAUUAAUAGCACCAAGUUAUUGGUGCUACCAACGUUUUGGCCAUUGGAUUAAGAGAUGUGCAGUUAGGAUAAUGUGGGCCCUCUAGGGUUGAGUGGGUGGUUGGUUGAAUAGUAUGAUCUAACGGGUGAAAAUGAUCAAAAGGGUAUAUCUAACGGUGGAAAGCUUGAUAGCACCAAGUGCUUCGUGCUAUUAAUAGCAUAGUAGUUGCACUCAUAUAUAUAUAUAUAUAUAUAUAUAGUUGAGCUAGGAUACUUUUACAUGUAUCACCCCCAUGGUGCUAUUAGGUUUUUAGCCAUUGGAUCUACUUCUUGAUUACUAAUAGUCCUUGGAUCAAAUACUAUUCCACCUACCAUCACCUACCACCACCUACUAAUAGUCCUUGGAUCAAUAGUCCUUGGAUCAAAUACUAUUCCACCUACCAUCACCUACCACCACCUACCAUCAUCAUCUCAACCUCACAUCUCUCUAUCCAAGGGCUAAAAACACUAUAGCACCAUG